AUUGUUGAAGAAAUGUUUGCAUCCUUCAUCCUGGAGUACACCACUAGAAAUAGCUGGGUGGUGUAGCCCUAGAUGGGAGUUACCCGAAGUACCGGAGUGCCCGGUUCAUCCAUCACCGUCGGUCCCAGCGCUGCCAGCGGCCGCCCCGGGGUCUUCCAAUGUUUCACCAGAAAAAGCCAAUUUGGGCUCUGGGUACAGGCAGAGAGGUUCCCUACAGGAAAACUCCUUACACAGAGACUGAGGGCUCAGUUGGUGCCUGAAAAAUGAGUCACAUGUUAGGAAAGCUGCAAAACUUUGACCUAACAGCCACUGCAUCUUCUGCACCCAUUUAAAGCACUGUGGUUCUUCCUCAGCUGGCAGGUCA